rnacentral:rRNA from 1 species
UACAGAGGUCUCAAGCGUUGUUCGGAUUCAUUGGGCGUAAAGGGUGCGUAGGCGGCGCGGUAAGUCGGGUGUGAAAUCUCGGGGCUUAACUCCGAAACUGCAUUCGAUACUGCUGUGCUUGAGGACUGGAGAGGAGACUGGAAUUUACGGUGUAGCGGUGGAAUGCGUAGAGAUCGGGAAGAACAUCGGUGGCGAAGGCGGCCUGCUGGGCUCUUGCUGACACUGAUGCGCGACAGCGUGGGGAGCAAACAGG